rnacentral:rRNA from 1 species
UAGGGAAUAUUGGGCAAUGGGCGAAAGCCUGACCCAGCAACGCCGCGUGUGUGAUGAAGGCCUUCGGGUCGUAAAGCACUUUUCUGGGAGAUGAGAAAGGACAGUAUCCCAGGAAUAAGUCUCGGCUAACUACGUGCCAGCAGCCGCGGUAAAACGUAGGAGGCGAGCGUUAUCCGGAUUCACUGGGCGUAAAGCGCGUGCAGGUGGCGCGGUAAGUUGGGCGUGAAAUCUCCCGGCUCAACUGGGAGAGGUCGUCCAAUACUACCGUGCUUGAGAGCAGAAGAGGAAGAUGGAAUUCCCGGUGUAGUGGUGAAAUGCGUAGAUAUCGGGAGGAACACCAGUGGCGAAGGCGAUCUUCUGGUCUGUUUCUGACACUCAGACGCGACAGCUAGGGUAGUAAACGGGAUUAGAGACCCCGGUAAUCCUAGCCGUAAACGAUGUGAACUUGGCGUUGGUGGGUUAAACUCCAUCAGUGCCGUAGCAAACGCGAUAAGUUCACCG